UUGCGGGAGCGAUAGAAACGGCAUCCUUUUUAUGCGUUGGAAGUUCUGUUGUUUGAGUUUAGUACAUACAUUAAACAGAUUGCUUCGUCGUUGCUCUUCUCCGCAAUGACGUAUAAAAAGAUAUAGUGGAUAGCGCGGUUUUUA
rnacentral:sRNA from 1 species